UGGACAGCAAUCCACGACUUCUUUCUUCUUUUUCUUCUAUUCUUCUUCCUUCUUCUAUGUUCUACCCAAACACAGAGAGAGAGACAAGGGAGUGAGAUCGAGAGAUUGAGAGGGAGAUCAGAGAGAGUUGAGACUAGAGAGAUGAGACCGAGAGAGAGACGAGAGAUUGAGAGUGAGAUCGGGAGAGUUGAGGGGGAUGGAGCCCGAUCCUUCGGUGGGUGACGCCGACGAGACCAGAGAACUCCGGUGAGCCAGCGACCCGUAGACCCGAUGCAAUCGCCGAUCUGUGCGACCCGGAAGAGAGAACCCGAGCAACCUGAACCCGUGACCCGCUGAACCCGAGAAGAGACCAGGUUCUCCAUGUGUGUUUUUCAGAGACUUUUCCGACGGAAACAGUGACAAUUUCCGGUGGAUUCUUGAGGAAAAUCCCCAAGGAUCGUGUUAUAAUUGGAGACUUCAAUGGGUUCUCCAAUGCAGAGUUCGAGUUGGAGUCCAAUGCAGCCAAGAUGAUGUUUCUUUGGUUGCAGGUACUUCGGUAUAGUUGAUGGGUUAGUAGCAGUGUGCUUGGGAUAUUAAGACUGAAGCUUGCCGCGACGGUUGUAAUUGUCGGACCACGGGUUGCCCACUAUUUUAUAGGUUUGGUAUGGCUUAUGACGUUUAUGUCACUUAUUCUUUGUAAAGCCAUUGUUGUUUUGUAAUUAUUGUGUUAAUAAAACUCAAACAGAUAGAUGUUAAAUGGCUCUUUGUUGUAAUUAAUUUGUGAUAGAUGUAUAAGUUGUAAUUUUCGCUAUUCAGGUUUA